GGAAUAUUGGACAAUGGGCGCAAGCCUGAUCCAGCCAUGCCGCGUGGAUGAUGAAGGCCCUAGGGUUGUAAAGUCCUUUCGGCGGGGAAGAUAAUGACGGUACCCGCCGAAGAAGCCCCGGCUAACUUCCUGCCAGCAGCCGCGGUAAUACGAAGGGGGCUAGCGUUGUUCGGAAUUACUGGGCGUAAAGCGCACGUAGGCGGAUAUUUAAGUCAGGGGUGAAAUCCCGCAGCUCAACUGCGGAACUGCCUUUGAUACUGGGUAUCUUGAGUAUGGAAGAGGUGAGUGGAAUUCCGAGUGUAGAGGUGAAAUUCGUAGAUAUUCGGAGGAACACCAGUGGCGAAGGCGGCUCACUGGUCCAUAACUGACGCUGAGGUGCGAAAGCGUGGGGAGCAAA
rnacentral:rRNA from 1 species